GCAGGAGCCUUUAGGUGGGCAGCUGGUCAAUCAGGGUGGGUGUCUCAUGGCCACAUGAUCCUUCUGUGUCCCAGGGAGCCGUGGGAGCUGCCCAAAGCCGCUCGGCGCUGGGCUCUGCGCACAGUUAUGCGGCAGCGACGGUUCCUGUCCUGAAGGAGAAAAGUGCUGCAGUAACGGGUGUGGCCACCAGUGCAUCAGAGUGUCUGGAGGGUCUCCCUAACACCCGUCUGCCUGAACCCAGGUGCCAGAGGGGA